rnacentral:rRNA from 1 species
GACGAACGCUGGCGGCGUGCCUAAUACAUGCAAGUCGAGCGAAGUUUUUCUGGUGCUUGCACUAGAAAAACUUAGCGGCGAACGGGUGAGUAACACGUAAAGAACCUGCCUCAUAGACUGGGACAACUAUUGGAAACGAUAGCUAAUACCGGAUAACAGUAUUUCUCGCAUGAGAGAUAUUUAAAAGUUGGUUAUGCUAACACUAUGAGAUGGCUUUGCGGUGCAUUAGCUAGUUGGUGGGGUAAAGGCCCACCAAGUCGACGAUGCAUAGCCGACCUGAGGGGGUGAUCGGCCACACUGGGACUGAGACACGGCCCAGACUCCUACGGGAGGCAGCAGUAGGGAAUCUUCCGCAAUGGGCGAAAGCCUGACGGAGCAACGCCGCGUGAGUGAAGAAGGAUUUCGGUUCGUAAAGCUCUGUUGUUAGGGAAGAAUGGAUAUGUAGUAACUAUACAUGUAAGAGACGGUACCUAACCAGAAAGCCACGGCUAACUACGU